GACGAACGCUGGCGGCGUGCUUAACACAUGCAAGUCGAACGGAAAGACCCUGCUUUUGUGGGGUGCUCGAGUGGCGAACGGGUGAGUAACACGUGAGUAACCUGCCCUUGACUUUGGGAUAACUUCAGGAAACUGGGGCUAAUACCGGAUAGGAGCUCCUGCUGCAUGGUGGGGGUUGGAAAGUUUCGGCGGUUGGGGAUGGACUCGCGGCUUAUCAGCUUGUUGGUGGGGUAGUGGCUUACCAAGGCUUUGACGGGUAGCCGGCCUGAGAGGGUGACCGGCCACAUUGGGAUGGAGAUACGGCCCAGACUCUUACGGGAGGCAGCAGUGGGGAAUAUUGCACAAUGGGCGGAAGCCGGAUGCAGCAACGCCGCGUGCGGGAUGACGGCUUUCGGGUUGUAACCGCUUUCGCCUGUGACGAAGCGUGAGUGACGGUAAUGGGUAAAGAAGCACCGGCUAACUACGUG
rnacentral:rRNA from 1 species